CGGGAGGGGAGUGAAAGAGAACCUGAAACCAUAUGCUUACAAGAAGUCAGAGCCCGUUAAAGGGUGAUGGCGUGCCUUUUGUAGAAUGAGCCGGCGAGUUAUGAUAUGCAGCAAGGUUAAGUGGGAGACACGGAGCCGAAGCGAAAGCGAGUCUUAAUAGGGCGAGAGUUGUAUGUCAUAGACCCGAAACCGAGUGAUCUAGCCAUGAUCAGGUUGAAGUUGGGGUAAAACCCGAUGGAGGACCGAACCGACCCCCGUUGAAACGUUGGCGGAUGAAUUGUGGCUAGGGGUGAAAUUCCAAACGAACUCGGAGAUAGCUGGUUCUCCCCGAAAUAGCUUUAGGGCUAGCGUCAGAGUGAAAGUUAUGUGAAGGUAGAGCACUGAAUAUGUGAUGGCCUCAUCCCGAGGUACUGAAUAUAAUCAAACUCCGAAUGUCACAGGAACAUAUCUGGCAGUCAGACUGUGGGUGAUAAGGUCCAUAGUCAAAAGGGAAACAGCCCAGACCAUCAGCUAAGGUCCCAAAAUAUAUGCUAAGUGGAAAAGGAUGUGGAGAUGUAUAGACAACUAGGAGGUUGGCUCAGAAGCAGCCACCCUUUAAAGAGUGCGUAACAGCUCACUAGUCGAAUGACUCUGCGCCGAAAAUUUACCGGGGCUAAGCAUAAUACCGAAGCUAUGGAUUUAUACGAAGAGUAUAAGUGGUAGGGGAGCGUUCCUCACAGCGACGAAGCAUGAUCGAAAGGACAUGUGGAGCGUGAGGAAGAGAGAAUGCCGGUGUGAGUAGCGGCACGUGGGUGAGAAUCCCACGCACCGAAGACCCAAGGUUUCCAGAGGAAGGUUCGUCCGCUCUGGGUAAGUCGGGGCCUAAGGCGAGGCCGAAAGGCGUAGUCGAUGGAUAACGGGUAGAGAUUCCCGUACCUGAAAUAGAGGCAAUGGAGUGACGGAGAAGGCUAAACGAUCCAGCUGCUGGAAUAGCUGGUGCAAGCGAGGUAGGUGACAUCCAGGCAAAUCCGGAUGUUGAAAGCCGAAGGCGUGAUGCGUAUGGAACACUUAGGUAAGUACAGAAGUCGUUGAAGCAAGCUUCCAAGAAAAGCUUCUAGCAAAACUCUAUAUCAGCCCGUACCGAAAAUGGACACACAUGGGUGAGGAGAGAAUCCUAAGGUGAGCGAGAGAACUAUAGCUAAGGAACUCUGCAAAAUGACUCCGGAGAAGGAGUGCUCAGUGAAAGCUGAGCCGCAGUAAAACGGCCCAAGCGACUGUUUACCAAAAACACAGCUCUCUGCCAAGACGCAAGUCGAAGUAUAGGGGGUGACGCCUGCCCGGUGCUGGAAGGUUAAGAGGAGUGGUUAGCGCAAGCGAAGCCAUGAAUUGAAGCCCCAGUAAACGGCGGCCGUAACUAUAACGGUCCUAAGGUAGCGAAAUUCCUUGUCAGGUAAGUUCUGACCCGCACGA
rnacentral:rRNA from 1 species